CUCUGUGGCAGUGCUUUGUAAUUUCUUUUCUUUGGUUUGUCCUCUUAGGGUUUUGCACCAGCAGCCUUCAGCGCUAACGAGUCAUGGUAUCGGCAUGUUCUUCUGGCCCGGCUAUAUGAUGUAAGUGAAGACAGUUUGGAAAAUGAGCUAAGGCUUUAAUUAGUGGGGCCACAGAGAAAGAAAUGAAGAAUGACUGUGGAGAGCAAAUACGGGGAACAGCUGCCUGGCCAGCGGUGCUGCCCAAACAAAGGUCUCCCCCUGCUCAGACUGGCCUCGGGGGGAAGCUGCUGCUGCUGCAUUUGGAGGGCCUGAAAUAGGGAUUUUCCCUGUACAGCUGUGGAGGUCAGACAAUUGGGGGCUGUAUUUUAUAUAUAUUUAUUUAUAAAUAAAUACAUAUAUUAAGUAUGGGAGUUUAUUUUUCUCCUACAACCUACUCACCUUGGAAAGCAGCAGAGCAGGCCGAAUCACUUCCUCGGACACUAUCCUUUUGCGUAUUUUUACCUUAUUUUUAAGAAUCCAAAGCAGGGUAAGCACAGGCUCUGAGCUUUUUUUGCCAAGAUCUGACCACACUGAUUUCAACAGACAAAACUUUGGUUUCAGAAUGCUAAAAUGAACAUACUGGCAUUUUCAAGCUAAAAGUUAGUAUGUUGAGUAAUUGUUAUGCUGAGACUGAUGGAGCACUUGCGUCAACUGAUCAAACUUUGCUCUGUUAGACUUUACUGAUCUUGCUUUUCUCUUUGCUCAAAUUAACAGUCACAUUUGUAAUUGAACUCAGUGGCAGCCAAGGUUAUAACGGUAUAAACACGCAAAAACCUGCCUCGCCAAAGUCUUCAGUCUCACUAAGAAUGAAGCUCACAGAAGCACAUUCAGGUCAGAAUUGAUGCUACCUAAACCAGGAAAAGAUUCACUUGCAGAGGCUCGUUUUGGAUCUUUCUAUAUCCAUAAAGGGAAAAUAAUUAUCUUUGUAUGUGUAUAAAUUUAUCUUUUCUUAUUCUACCCAUUCUGUGGACAAACUGUUAAAUGCCUUGAUAAAAGCUUUCUAAAACACUUUAAUAAUUCCCCAAACACUCAACACAACCCACACUGGCUUUUUCUUUUUUUUUUAAAUCUGAAGGUUUAUUAAGAAGAUCACAGAUUUUCCUGUUCACUGUGAAAUCCAGGUGGGAAAAAAAAUCAAGUAAUUCUUGGUAUUUAAUAUGAUAAUUCUAACUGAGACUUACAAGGUAAAAGAACUUAAUGUCAUUACCUAUGCAAGAUAUGAAAAUGCAUGCCUCCAGAAAUAAUGACCUUAUUACAGCAUUGAUCUUGCGUGGGCAGAAGCCUGCUUUAGAAGAAGCCUGUGGGAAAUGUUCAUGUAUUUCACCUGCCUAUUGUACGUUAUAGGUGAGCCCAGAGGUGCAAUAAGAUACACAUUUGGUAAGUGUCUUGCAUGUAAGAAAUCAGAGAUUUAAUGCAUUAAUCACUAGAGUGCAAUUAUAGACCUUAAUUGAGAAGGUAUUAGCCGUUUGCCAUAGAUAACCUUCAGUGGCUAUUAGAAUUUCAUAGUCUGAGUUCAUUACAACUGGCAAAUGCCAUUUUGCACAACCAGCACACACAAGGGCCUGUUACUUGGCUGGAAGUACAUUUUUUGCAGUAUUAAAUCCACUCCAUUAAAUACAAGAGAGAGCACCUGUUCAGGUCUUAUUUCAAUAAAGAUUACAUCCUAGUUGCAUUUUAAGGGAGUUUAUAAAGAGAGCACACUAUUAAUGUAUUUUAUUAGCAUGUUUAAAAUGGGACACACUGGAAAUAUUACAAACCCAUCAGUAGAAGACAUCGUGGCUGGUGAUAAGGUGCUACGUGCGCAGCUUGCUAUGGGUAUGUGACUUGC